rnacentral:tRNA from 1 species
AUAUAAAUUUGGCAGAGAAUUGUAUUAGAUUUAGAAUCUAAGCAUGGAAAUUAGAGCUUUCCAAUUUAUA